GCACAAGCGGUGGAGCAUGUGGAUUAAUUCGAUGCAACGCGAAAACCUUACCUACCCUUGACAUGUCCGGAAUCCUGAAGAGAUUUGGGAGUGCUCGCAAGAGAACCGGAACACAGGUGCUGCAUGGCUGUCGUCAGCUCGUGUCGUGAGAUGUUGGGUUAAGUCCCGCAACGAGCGCAACCCUUGUCAUUAGUUGCCACCAUUCAGUUGGGCACUCUAAUGAGACUGCCGGUGACAAACCGGAGGAAGGUGGGGAUGACGUCAAGUCCUCAUGGCCCUUAUGGGUAGGGCUUCACACGUCAUACAAUGGUCGGUACAGAGGGUCGCCAACCCGCGAGGGGGAGCCAAUCCCACAAAGCCGAUCGUAGUCCGGAUUGGAGUCUGCAACUCGACUCCAUGAAGUCGGAAUCGCUAGUAAUCGUGGAUCAGCAUGUCACGGUGAAUACGUUCCCGGGUCUU
rnacentral:rRNA from 1 species